UGGACACAUCUGGAGCCGAUCCGUCUGUCUGAUGUGACCGAAACGUCCGGUCUAGAUAUUCUGUUUGUACCUUGAAGAUAACUAUCGGGCAAUUGGAUGAAACUACUGCGAAACUAAAUAAAUAAUUUAAUUGCAACACAAAAAAAAUCUGUGUGCCUCAA